AGCUUCUGCAGCAGCAGCAGCCCCUGAGCAGCCAGGGGGAAAUGGAGGCAUGGCUGCUUGGAGAUGCUCCCCCCAGCCUGGGGGUCUCCACCCUUGGGGACGGACUGUGGGUCACCUAGCUCAGGCUGUCACCCCCCUGACAGCCGGGUCCUUGGCACCCUCCCACCCUUUCAGAAUCAGCCCUUUUCCAGCCUGAUUACAGGCCUGGCUGGAAAUGCAGACAACUCAUGGUUUCGGUGUGAGUCACAGAAGGUUUGGUGGCUUUUCUCUCCUUGCAACUCCAGGCUCUCCGGGCUGCAGCGGUUAGCUGGCAGCGUCGGGCUCCUCGCCCGGAGGAAGCAGAUCUGCAGCCCUUGGACGCAUGGAGAGAAGUUGGGAUGUGUCCUGAGUAGGCUCAGGGGGAGCAAGCCAGCGCAGGACCUCAGGUCUCCCGGCAAGCGUUGUCUCAUGCCACUGGGGACAGAAGCAGCAGUUCUGGUAUGCAGAGUGUUGCCCCAGAGGUCACGUAACAUCUGGGCGCUUGGAAACUGCUGUCAGUGAAUAGCUAUGGAAACACAUCCUGAAGCAAUGUGAAAUAUCUCAAGGUGAACCUCUGCAAUGGGCAUCACCGACAUCCUGCCUGGGAGCCCAGUGACCCCAACAUCACUUCUCCAGCUUCAGCAUUGGUUUGUAAUGUCAACAUAACCCUCUUAUAAUAGCAGCCCUGUCAUUUAUGCUUACUUAUCAGUCUAUUUAUAAUAUCUCUAAGCAAGCCCGUUAUUUAUUGGGAUAAAAUUGGCUGUCCAGAGAGGCUGAAGUCUGCACAGGGUCAGGAGGAACAUGAAUACCCUUUUUCUAAUUCUGACACUAUACGCCUCCCAAAGGUGAAGGCUGUCAGUACUAUUAGCAGAUAUUACUGCGCAACAGGAAGACAAUUACUGCGGGAGAACUGUUUCUCCUGAGCUUAAUGAUUCACUAGCACGUGUGAGUGCCAUUAAUCCCCAAGGGAGCGGAGGCAGCUGGCCUCGUGAACACACUAUUCCCCGCUCAAGCCUUGCAGCGAUGCUGGUGAUGCUGUGGAGAGGUUCUCCCCUGCUCUGGGUGUCUCAGAAAAUACUCUUGAGAGGGCGCAGGGCUGCUCUGCAGCUCACAGGGGGCUGGCACUCGAGCUGGACCAUGCUUUGGGCUUUUUCAACAAUACCUGCUACCCUGCGGUGGGAAUCCUUACUUGCCUGGCAGGGUCUUUGCCAUUGAGCUUUUCCCUGCAGCAACAGCUGUGCCAUGCAGAGUCAGGUGAGAAGCUCAGCACAUUCACUCGCCUUUUAGGUGUUCAGGAAGCUCCUAGACCCUCUGUGGUCACCACAGGAGGGAUCACAGCUAGCCUUCGUGGACAAAGCAUCUCAAGUCCUCCCCCAACAGCAGCACUGGCCGCAUCACAGGCCCUAUGCUGGCUGCUGGGCUUUGCUGGGGGCAAUGGCUGGCCGGUUGGGGAUGCUCGCUCUCUGCCCGUGAGGCCAUGGGGCAUCCCGGCUACGGCAGCUGGGUCCUGCACCAGGCCGUUCUGCUCCAGCUGGUCCAACAUGCACAACACAAGCUGGCACGGGCUGUGGAGUAGUCGGUUUGUAAUGGAAAUGCUGCCUGCAGAGCUUCCUCUGCUCCUCAGCAACACUCUGACACUUCUGUGCCUUAUAUUACAGGGUUUAUAUGAAAUCAUAGGUGAUUUCUGAGCAUAAUAGGCACAAUUAAAGGUAUGAUGAUACACAGAUGAGCUUACACCGGGGCUGCAAAUUGAAGAGAUUCUCCUUCCCAGC